GAUGAAGAACGCAGCGAAAUGCGAUAAGUAGUGUGAAUUGCAGAAUUCAGUGAAUCAUCGAAUCUUUGAACGCACAUUGCGCCCUUUGGUAUUCCAAAGGGCAUGCCUGUUCGAGCGUCAUUUGUACCCUCAAGCUUUGCUUGGUGUUGGGCGUCUUGUCUCUAGCUUUGCUGGAGACUCGCCUUAAAGAAAUUGGCAGCCGGCCUACUGGUUUCGGAGCGCAGCACAAGUCGCACUCUCUAUCAGCAAAGGUCUAGCAUCCAUUAAGCCUUUUUUUCAACUUUUGACCUCGGAUCAGGUAGGGAUACCCGCUGAACUUAAGCAUAUCAAUAGCGGAGGA
rnacentral:misc_RNA from 1 species